rnacentral:rRNA from 1 species
GACGACCGCUAGCUGCGUUCCUAACACAUGCAAGUCGAACGUAAAUGCCCUUCUUUUGUGGGUUGCUCUAGUUGCUAUCGGGUGAUUAACCCUUGAUUAACCUGCCCUUGACUUUUUUAUAACUUCAGGUAACUUGGUCUACUACCGUAUAGGUUCUCCUGCUGCAUGGUUUGGGUUGUAAAGUUUCGGCGGUUGGGGCUGGACUCGCCGCUUAUCAGGUUUUUGGUGGGGUAGUGGCUUACCAAGGCUUUGACGGGUAGCCGGCCUGAUUGGGUGACCGGCAACAGUAGGACUGAGAUACGGCAAAGAAUGCUACGGGAGGAAGCAGGGGGGAAUAGUGCACAAGGGGCGGAAGCCUGAUGCAGAAACGCCGCGUGCGGGAGGAAGGCCUUAGGGUUGUAAAACGAUUUCGCCUGUGACGAAGAGUGAGUGACGGUAAUGGGUAAAGAAGAACCGGCUAACUACGUG